rnacentral:rRNA from 1 species
GCCUACAGCCAUGGGCGUUCUGAAAGCGCCCGAUCUCGUCUGAUCUCGGAAGCUAAGCAGGGACGUGCUUGGUUAGUACCUGGAUGGGAGACCGCCUGGGAAUACCAGGUGUUGUAGGCU